rnacentral:rRNA from 1 species
AUUGAACGCUGGCGGCAUGCUUUACACAUGCAAGUCGAACGGUAACAGGCCGCAAGGUGCUGACGAGUGGCGAACGGGUGAGUAAUGCGUCGGAACGUACCCAGUCGUGGGGGAUAACGCAGCGAAAGCUGUGCUAAUACCGCAUACGAUCUAUGGAUGAAAGCGGGGGACCGUACGGCCUCGCGCGAUCGGAGCGGCCGAUGUCAGAUUAGGUAGUUGGUGGGGUAAAGGCCCACCAAGCCAACGAUCUGUAGCUGGUCUGAGAGGACGACCAGCCACACUGGGACUGAGACACGGCCCAGACUCCUACGGGAGGCAGCAGUGGGGAAUUUUGGACAAUGGGCGCAAGCCUGAUCCAGCAAUGCCGCGUGCAGGAAGAAGGCCUUCGGGUUGUAAACUGCUUUUGUACGGAACGAAACGGUCUGGGUUAAUACCUCGGGCUAAUGACGGUACCGUAAGAAUAAGCACCGGCUAACUGCGUGCCAGCCGCCGCGGUAAGAC